GCUUCCGCUGACGCAGCGCCGGCCUGCGCCUCAUGACUAUGCAGCAGAGCUGAGGGGCGGGGCCUGAGACGAGUGCGUCUAUUGGUCGCCAGCUGCCUGUGGCCCCGCCCCCUCGUGAAGGCCGCGCCCCGCCCAGGGCCUGGUGGUGGGCUCUGGAGGUGGUUGUGUAUUUCGCCGCCCUCGCCUGGCCUUCCUGCCUUACACCCUCAGGCUCUUCAGGCCGCAACUGUGUAGCACGCUGUGCUCACCUUCCUCCAACAGAGCUGCACCCCUCCUGAGAGCAAACUGAUGGUUUGUAACUCCCCCAUCCUUACUCCUUCUCAACCAUUGCCCUCUCUGGGCAUCUCUCCUUUCUUGAAGCACUUUGAAGGACCCUUCAAUCCCGUGAGCCCUCUGGAGAGUUGGGUAGGAUGUGAGCCAUGCAUGCCCAGGGUACCCAAACCUGGGCCACAGAGCCGAUCUCUCCCCAGUGCUGAGAAGCCAUACAAGGCCAAGUCCGGAAGGGAGCUAGACAGAUACAAGGAAUGAUGGGUGAUGUCAGACAGCCCGGCUGGCACCUCAGCCAAGAUGGGUUGGAGAGAUGGCUCAACACUGACUACUCUUCCAGAGAACCUGGGUUCAAUUCCCAGCACCCACAUGAAAGCUACCAACUGUCUGUAACUCCAAGAUCUGACGCUCUCACACAGGCAUACAUGCUGGAGAGAUGGCUCGGAGGUUAAGAGCACUGACUGCUCUUCCAGAGGUCCUGAGUUCAAUUCCCAGCAACCACAUGGUGGCUCACAACCAUCUGUUAUGAGAUCUGGUGCCCUCUUCUUGUGUGCAGAUAUACAUGGAAGCAGAAUGUUGUAUACAUAAUAAGUAAAUAAAAAAAUAAUGUUUAAAAAAAUAUCUUUCAUUU
rnacentral:lncRNA from 1 species